UUAAAGUCUAGAAAGUCUUUAAUAGAUCCAUUUUAUAGGGAGCAGCACAUAUUUGCUACCUAGUGCUAUGUAACAAACUACCCUGUAAGUUAGCCCCUUAAAAUGACACAUAUUUAGAUUCUCAUGGGGUUCUGAAGGUUGUGGGUGUCUUUAGUUUUGGGAUCCUGUGAAGUAAUGGUUACUUUGCUGUCAACUAGGGUAGUAGAAAAUAAAAACCUAUAGAGUCGUCUUCCAGCUCUCUCAUGUAGCUGUUGGCAGACCUCAGUUCUUCACCACAGGGCCUCUCUGCAGGCUUCUAGAGUGCCCUGGAAAUGUGGCAGAUGGCUUUCCCCAAAACAAGCUAUAAGAGGAAGGAAAGGGCGGAGAUGGAUGGAAACAGGGUAGGGGGUAGAAAGGGGAGGAUAAAAGGAGGAGGGAAAGAGAGGGUGUGCAAGAGAGUCCCAAAGAUGGAAGUGAUUUUUAAUUUACAUGUAACUCUUUACUUAUAAAUCUUUUAUAAGCUAAGAUUACAUCUAAGCUACAUACAUCAUGGAUCUCAUAUUUCAUCAUCCCCAUAGGCCAGCUAUGGGACACUAUGGAGGAGUCAACAAACAACAAAUGGGUACCAGAGCAGAGUUUAGGUGGCUGUAUUUGAAAGCUGCCUGUCGUGUAUUUUGUUCAGGUACUUCUGAAUGUAGCAGUGAGAUAAUACCCUAGCCAUUUUCUGAUCUCCCCUUCUAUUCUUUCAGCCAGUUGUAAGGAAAGUUGUGUUACUUAUAUGAUUAAAACUAGCAGAUAUGUUAAUAUUUUAGAAUAGAUGUUCUUGGAUCUAUCUAGCCCAGGUGUACAUGUGAUCUCAUACACAUGUGGGUAGAGACUACCAGAAGAUGACCUCAUUAUUCAUUAGUCACUAGCCAUCUUGAUGUUUGAUGUAUAGUAGCUCAUGAGCCUUAAUCUGUCCAAAUAGGUGAGGCUGGGUGGCCAGCAAGCCCCAGUGACCCACCUGUCCCUACCUCCCCACAGUGUAUAUUACAAAUAUAUACAGUGCCACAUUUAGCUUUUCUUACAUGGGCUCUGGGGAUUGAACUCUUACUCAGUUGCUGGUAAAACAAGCAUUUUGCAAAUGAGCUCUUGCCUCAACUGGGCAGCUUGAGAUUUGAAUUCUAUGUCUCUUGAUGUCCUUGUGUGCUGGAGACAAGGGAACUUUUGUGUUACUGGUAGUGCAUGGCACAUUGGGUUGCUGCUAGGGUCUAGUACCUGUGCUUAUGGCAAGCUAAUAGAAGAAUGUUAAACACAGGGUACAAAGGAUUGUCAAUCAUUGUAUGAUGAUCACCCCAUAGUCAAUCCACAUUGAAGAAAUGUGAAAUUCCUGCAGAUAAUCAGAAAAAGGCAGAAAACCCCUGAAUAUACAUUCUAUUUACCAUUACUUGAAACUUCUUUUGAAGUCACAUCAAGUGGUUGAUACACAGAAAGAUGGAAAAUUGGCCAUUGUGGUUCCAUGGCUUGUUUGUGUGAGCUUGUACAUUCCAUCUCGCAUCCACAAUCCAUCCUCACAGUACUACUACCAUGAUGUAGUCUUUCUACAUUAGUGUGUACCCCUGUGAGCACUUAUCUUGCAUCCAUAGUGUAUUAUCACAUAGUGCCACCACCCUGCAGCCUUUCCAUUACGCUCUCUAUAGACAACCAGGAAGCGACUUCCAGAGGCAAAUGGCUGAUGCCUGAAUUCCACUGCUGUUUUGAUAAGUUCACUUUGAGCAGAUUUUUCAUGUCUUCCCUAUUUAUAUCUUUUCAAAUCCAAUCUCCUUCAAUCAAUUUUAAUCCUCUAAUGUGUUUGCUAUAAGUACUGUACAAUUCACUUGUCCUCAAUAAUAAAAUUCAUUUUGGUGCGGCCAGACUGUAAUUUGUUUGAGAAGGAGUCCUUAGGAAGCCCUUACGUUCUCUUCUGAUUUAGAGGGCAACCUUCAGUGUGGGAAGAAUUGUGUUGUCAUGUGCUUGAAGUAUUCUUUCAUGACUGACAGUGCUGUUUAAAUAAUGGACGGCCAAGCCUUGUGCUUAAAUGAAAUCUGACUACACUAAUUCUGUUCUAUAUUAGGGAACUUCAAGAGUUCUGCAAGGACACGAUUUCAUUGACAGUGGAUUUAUUUUUUUCAGUUUGUGCAAAUUAUCCCCAUGGUGCCUCAUACCUCCUCCACCGAAACAUACAUUUAUUCCCUAAUAUUGAAUAUUUUUAUUGCUUUAAUUCUCAUGGUACUGUGAGCCAACAAGAAUUGAACAGAAAGCCUUUCUGCGUACAGGUUAAAAUAUAAAUUCAGUGGAGCAGAGGUAAGAAGGUUCAGUAAAUAAUGGUCCUUGCCACUAGUGUUGAUGACCUGAGCAGAAUUGACCCUCACAAGUGUUCUCUGACCUCUACAUACAUGCUGGAACAUGUCCUCCCCAACCACAAGUAAACAAAUAAAUGUAAGCAAAAAGUACAUUAAAUAGGGUGUUAUUAUACAGAGUCCAGAUAUUUAUAACUAGUGUGGGUGGGUAGAUAUGUAAUCUUUGCAUACAUGAGGGGCAACCAGGGGAUCAAGGGCAGCUUUCUCUACCUAGUAUGAUCCUCUUUCCGACAUGCAGACAAAUGAAUGGAUUCAUUGAAUUGAGUUU
rnacentral:lncRNA from 1 species